CACACACACACAAAAAAAAAAACUGGCAUUUGAAUGGGGGUGUGCAGACUUUUUUCAUGUAAUUGACAUGUGUCUCACACACACUUAUUGGCUUUGACAUAAUCUAAUAACCAACCAUCAAAACACCAUUAUUGCCUCACUCCAACCCCAUCCAAAAUAAUAACAUCAGUCUUAGAAUCUCAUUAGGGUUUCCUUACAUAAGCAGUCCAUGUAGUGUACGGUAAGUGGUCCAGUGAACUGACUGCAGCACAUACUGCGCUCCCAUCUGUCGUCCUCUCACUCCCGCUGCUUGUCACACAGCAGCGAAAGCUUUAUUCUCAACCGCAAAACCAACACCAACACCACCUAGGAAAGGAAAUAUUCAUGAAUGUGAUUUGUUAUGAUGACAUUUUCAACUGAAACGUGGAAGGUUGCCGUCAGAAGGAGACUGUUCUGAACCGGGCUGACGUCACUAACACUGAAUCUAAAAACACGAACAAACAUGAUCCGACAAACUCAAAUCAUCGAUGUUCUUCAAACAUCCACUGUUGCAAAUAGAUGAAUGAAAAUCAUCUUAAGGAUGGGGAAAACAAGGCAUUGAGGUAUUUUUUUUUAGAACUGCAAUCAAAAGAGAUACAAUGCUGUUAUGCUGAUAAUUAAGAAAUGUGAGAGCGUGUGUGUGUGUGUGUGUGUGUGUGUGUGUGUGUUGACGGGGACUUUUAGGGGGUACAAGAUAAGAAGCAUCAACACAGACAAAAAUAUGAAACAAAAACUGCCCUUUCAUCUUCAUGUGUGUUGACGUCGCUUCAGAAAACAAUAACUGCAUAACAUACACUUGCCUAUACAUUUGUAUACUUUCCCUGUGGUGCAGGAUCAUUAAGCAUACAUUUUUAAGCUUGUCUCAUCUUAAAUACAGUGGAACCUCCAAAGUGAAACGUGUUCGAAUUUGACUCUGGAAAAAUUGGCUUUGUUCAAGAGUCUCCAUAAGUGUGGUUAGUCAAUCUUUGGCUUUUUUUUUUGUUUCUAUACGGAAGGUUACCACUGUUGGCAAAGAUGAAAGAGUGUGAUGACAUGUCAUGACAUGACCAUUCUGCAGGAAGUGGAGCUUAUUGCGACUUGUCCAUCCUGGCUGCUCAGUACAAUAUGGCUGAACUUCCUUCACAACAAGCAGCAGUUUGGUAACUAGAGAACAGCUCUUCAAAAAAGAGCCUUCAAACUGUUUAUUGCCACUCGCAGUUGACGUUUACUAUCAAACUAAAUAUGAAAC